rnacentral:tRNA from 1 species
GAGGCGUUAGUCUAUCGAGGGCAUCCCGCUGUUGACGGGAAAGAGGGCUACAAGGGUUCACGCUUCU